AACGAACGCUGGCGGCAGGCCUAACACAUGCAAGUCGAGCGCCCCGCAAGGGGAGCGGCGGACGGGUGAGUAACGCGUGGGAACGUACCUUUUGCUACGGAAUAGCCUCGGGAAACUGGGAGUAAUACCGUAUGUGCCCUUUUGGGGGAAAGAUUUAUCGGCAAAAGAUCGGCCCGCGUUGGAUUAGGUAGUUGGUGGGGUAAUGGCCUACCAAGCCGACGAUCCAUAGCUGGUUUGAGAGGAUGAUCAGCCACACUGGGACUGAGACACGGCCCAGACUCCUACGGGAGGCAGCAGUGGGGAAUCUUAGACAAUGGGCGCAAGCCUGAUCUAGCCAUGCCGCGUGAGCGAUGAAGGCCUUAGGGUUGUAAAGCUCUUUCAGUGGGGAAGAUAAUGACUGUACCCACAGAAGAAGCCCCGGCUAACUCCGUG
rnacentral:rRNA from 1 species